UACGUAGGGCGCGAGCGUUAUCCGGAAUUAUUGGGCGUAAAGAGCUCGUAGGCGGUUUGUCACGUCUGCUGUGAAAACUGGAGGCUCAACCUCCAGCCUGCAGUGGGUACGGGCAGACUAGAGUGCGGUAGGGGGAGAUUGGAAUUCCUGGUGUAGCGGUGGAAUGCGCAGAUAUCAGGAGGAACACCGAUGGCGAAGGCAGAUCUCUGGGCCGUAACUGACGCUGGAGGAGCGAAAAGCAUGGGGAGCGAACAGGAUAGAUACC
rnacentral:rRNA from 1 species